UGCAGUCGAACGGGAAAUAUUUCAUUGAGACUUCGGUGGAUUUGAUCUAUUUCUACUGGCGGACGGGUGAGUAACGCGUGGGUAACCUGCCUUAUACAGGGGGAUAACAGUCAGAAAUGGCUGCUAAUACCGCAUAAGCGCACAGAGCUGCAUGGCUCAGUGUGAAAAACUCCGGUGGUAUAAGAUGGACCCGCGUUGGAUUAGCUUGUUGGCGGGGUAACGGCCCACCAAGGCGACGAUCCAUAGCCGGCCUGAGAGGGUGAACGGCCACAUUGGGACUGAGACACGGCCCAGACUCCUACGGGAGGCAGCAGUGGGGAAUAUUGCACAAUGGGGGAAACCCUGAUGCAGCGACGCCGCGUGAAGGAAGAAGUAUCUCGGUAUGUAAACUUCUAUCAGCAGGGAAGAUAGUGACGGUACCUGACUAAGAAGCCCCGGCUAACUACGUGCCAGCAGCCGCGGUAAUACGUAGGGGGCAAGCGUUAUCCGGAUUUACUGGGUGUAAAGGGAGCGUAGACGGUGUGGCAAGUCUGAUGUGAAAGGCAUGGGCUCAACCUGUGGACUGCAUUGGAAACUGUCAUACUUGAGUGCCGGAGGGGUAAGCGGAAUUCCUAGUGUAGCGGUGAAAUGCGUAGAUAUUAGGAGGAACACCAGUGGCGAAGGCGGCUUACUGGACGGUAACUGACGUUGAGGCUCGAAAGCGUGGGGAGC
rnacentral:rRNA from 1 species